CUCAAACUACUGGACGGAUCGAGCCGAAAUUUGGCAUGCAGAUAGCUAUUAUGGCGUAGACAUCCCAAAGAAAGGAUUUUUGAAAAUUCAACGGCCCCUAAGGGGGGUAAAGUAGGGGUUUGAAAUCUGUGUAGUCGAUGCGGAUGAAGUCGCUGGUAGAAAACUAUAAGCUAGUUAUUGAUAUU